rnacentral:rRNA from 1 species
AGCUCCAAUAGCGUAUAUUAAAGUUGUUGCAGUUAAAAAGCUGGUAGUUGAACUUGUGGCCUGGAUGGCUCGGUCUGACGCUUAUACGUGAGUACCUGAGCCAUCUGACCAUCCUUGGGUGGAACCUGUAUGGCAUUAAGUUGUCGUGUAGGGGAUGCCCAUCGUUUACUGUGAAAAAAGUUAGAGUGUUCAAAGCAGGCUUAUACCUUUGAAUAUAUUAGCAUGGAAUAAUGAUAUAGGACUUUGGUACUAUUUUGUUGCUUUGUGUACUAAAGUAAUGAUUAAUAGGGACAGUUGGGGAUAUUAGUAUUUUUAUGUCAAAGGUGAAAUUCUUUGAUCCUUUAAAGACUAACUACUGCAAAAGCAUUUAUCAAGGAUGUUUUCA